rnacentral:rRNA from 1 species
GACGAACGCUGGCGGCGUGCCUAAUACAUGCAAGUCGAACGCAGUGGGGACGGGUGAGUAACACGUGGGUAACCUCCCAUCAGAGGGGAUAACACUUGGAAACAGGUGCUAAACCGAUACUGAUGGAUGGACCCGCGGUGCAUUAGCUAGUUGGUGAGGUAACGGCUCACCUAGGCGACGAUCCCUAGCUGGCCUGAGAGGGUGAGCGGCCACACUGGGACUGAGACACGGCCCAGACUCCUACGGGAGGCAGCAGUGGGGAAUAUUGGACAAGGGGCGAAAGCCUGAUGGAGCAAUGCCGCGUGAAUGAAGAAGGCUUUCGGGUUGGAAAAUGCUGUCGGUAGGGAGGCGGUACCGAAAGAAGAAGCACCGGCUAACUCCGUGCCAGCAGCCGCGGUAAUUC